AAACCUAAUCCAUCACUACCUUCACCUUCACCACUUUCAUCAUUCCAAUUUCCACCGUUCAUCAACAUCGAUUGAAGCUUAUCUUGGUUUGCUAGGUGAUUUACAGCACAAUUUCGAGAAAAAAUGGGUGUACAGUGGUUUUGACGAAAUUUCGAUGUUGAAUGGCAACAAUAAAUGGGCCAGUGGUUAAAGUUAUGAGAGCAAUCUGCCAACAGUUGAUAAAUUCAAUUGCAAGCCCACUGAAGAAUGUAGCCAUGUGAGAGUGGGAGGAGAGAGGGAAUGUUGAAGACGUCCUUGGGCUGAAGGGCUUUUAAAUCUGAAAACCAUCGAGUUUCUAGAUCACCAGGGUGUCUUACUCUUACAUAAGUUGAAUUAUAUGAGGAAACUUGUUACAGCAUUCUACAUUGUCGGACUCGUACCACCCAACAAAGGCUUGAAAUGAAGUAACAGCAAUUCAAGUGACGUCACUCAAAAUUGGUGAUCAAGUAUUGCUGAAAUUACAAGGUGGUGCUACACAUACUGGUGUAGAUUCAAGAGCUCAUCAUCGAGAAAUGAAUUAAUUGACUUGUAUUUUGUAUUCUUGAUUUAUAAAUGUCUAGUUGUU
rnacentral:lncRNA from 1 species